GUGUGUGUGUGUCUUAUCAGCAUGAUCAUUGGGUUUUCACACACAAGUGUGGGAUGUACCUCCUUCAAACCUUGUUACAAACAUCAGCACUUACCAAUCUGAUG